UUUCUGGAGAUUCCUUCUCUUGGUGAAGCUUUCCCCUGUGAACCUGGAAUCUUCUGAUAGGCAGAAUACCUUUGAUUGCAAGCCUCUGCUGGGAGGCAGAGCCUAAGCACAGCUGCCGCAUUGCAAUGCCUUGUUUGAGAGUUCCCACCUCAGCCAGCAUAGAAGGUGGCUAGGGAAGAGCAGUAGGAUUGCCAUGUGGAAUGAAAGGAAUGUGAAAGAAGACAGUGUGCCCUACUUGAAUGAAUGCACACAACUGGGGAACUUUUAAUGGUUGCUGUAUUCAUCUGAAAUGGCCAGCAAAUGCUGAAGGCCUGGAACCAACCAGAGAAGUGAAUUUACAGAUUACCUGAUGACCAUUUUCACAGAAAAAAAAAAGAUUGCUUUCUUUUAAGAGGAUCAGAAUGGUUUUUGCACCCAAAUUCUGAAAUAUUCCUUUCUUUGGCUUUUGGAAAUGGACUGAUUUUUCUGCCUAGAUGUCUUGAUUAAGCUUAAAACUUUGAAAUCGGUUGCACUUUAUGGAAUGGUUAACAGAUUGCACAGUAGUCAUGCUGCAGCCACAGUGUAGUUUAACCAUGAUUGUUGAAUCCUGCAGCUGUUUUAUUGAUAAGUUUACUAUGUGGCUGAAUACGAACUGCAUUAUGUGUGGUUUUUAGGAGUGUCUCUCUAGUUCCCAUAGUAAAAUGAGUUUUCAAAGCAAAAAGUGCUAGCAGCAUCCUCAAGGUUUCUUACUGCUUACUGUAUCUCCUGUCUGAUUAACGCACAGAUAUAAUGAGUUUUGAUGAGACGUGCUUGUUGGUGGUGUUUCAUUUUAAGGCAUUUAUGCUGAUUUAUUUUUUUUCCCUUUUUUUCCAAAUGGAAGCAACAGUAGGCUUUCUGAAGGAGAACGGGUAAUCCAGCAGAUCCAGGCUGUUCCUUUAAGGUCUUUUUCAGAACCAGCUAGAUGUUGAUUCCUUUAUUCAUACUACUGAGCAACUUACUGACUGGAUAGGUAAUUCUAAUGUUAAAUAAAAUUUCUUAGAAAAAAAAUCCAGCUCAAAGGAAAUAAACAUGAGAUAAGGAAUCUGACUGUACAGAACUCCUACAAUAAAAAAGGGAAAACUUGCUGCCCUAACCUUGCCCUGACCACAAAUGACCAUACUUUUCCAAAACUUUUGGAUUACCUUAUUCAGAAAUAGUUUAAUAGGUGGAAUAGGCAUACUCUUGAAGUCAGUGAAAGUGACUCUGACAUAAAAUAUAUUCAGGUUCCUGGAAAUUUGGGUGUUUUGUUAACUAUUUAUAGCUGUAUCAUGACCUGUAUUAAUGAAUAAACACCUAUUUUUUAAUCU
ensembl:lncRNA